CGAGCGACUCCUUGAAGUCAGGCGAGGAGGAUACAACGAUUUUUAGAAAAAGCAAAAAUAUAAAGUCAGGGUGUGUGAAGAGCGGGUGCGAGGGGGCAGCGGGUUCAGGCAGAUCAAAGGGUGCCGUGGGGGUGCUGAGUGUGGUUUGGUGAGAGGGAGCCCAGGAUUGCCUCAAAAGGAAAGAAACGCUCCUGAAUUUUUUAGUGUCUCGGUCCCGUUUCAUACCAGCCCUGUGGAGGCAGGGGAAGAGCCUUCCCGGGAGCCAGGGCCUUUCCUAACCCCGGUGAGGACACACAGACACAUAAUUUUAGCUUUUCACCACCUGUUUGGAAAGCUCCUAUAACCGAGUGCUGUGGGACUGGAUGGUUUUUACAGGCAUGUACCCCGGGAGCUGCUUAUUUGCAUUAUGCAUGGACCAAGGCCUAAAAUAAUCUGCAGUGACGCACAUUUUUUGCUGUGAUUUUUUUUUCCCCUCCCUUUUCCAGGACUCCAUUUUUCUGAACGUGCCAUGACUUUUGAGGACCACGCAUGGUUGCCCAGCCCCGGGGCUGCCGAGGCCCUGAUUCAGCACGUCCUGCUGCGGCGGGGGAGCAGGGGGAGCUCCCGGUGCCCGGCCGUGACACAGGGAGAGGGCCCUGGUGCUCCGCCUCGGCUUUCAUCUGCAAAGCGUGUAGCUGCAAGUGCGGCGUGUUUACAAAUGCAGGCAUUGCAAGAUCCCUUGAACUGUGUCCUAGUACAAAAGAGGCUUUGAAACGAGAAACACGUUGUCAUGGCAUGUUCCAGGCCAGCAGCACCAGACUGAACCAGAUAAUUGCUGUUUCUGCUUCACCGUGGAAAAAGCAGCAGCAAUUCAAAUGGAAACUUCCCAGAAUGAGUGUUGCAGAGCUUUCCCCUUGAAUCACAAGGCCUCCCAAGAGCCGCUUUCUAAGACGAUGCCCUCGGGAAAGCUGUCACCAGCCUCGCCGAGCAGCGGCUCCUCCGGGCAGCACAGCUGGUCCUGAUCCCUCCGCAGGCCCAUUCCCGUCGGAGCAGUGGCUUUCUCCAGGAGGAGCAGAGUUUUGGGCUGCCCCUGCCAGGCGGGGUGACGGGCAGGGCAGGCAGGGGAUGGAGAUCCCUCCCUGGCUCAUCAAUCCCCCUCCUCCCAGCAGCCGUGGGACAGACCGAAACAACGGGAAGCAUUUGGUCAGGUCAGCCAAAGGAGGCUCUUUAAUGAGCAAAGCCGAGCACUAAUUAGUCUGGUGUGCGCCCCUUGCCCCAGCGCCCAUCCCCGCAGUUCUCCCUCAGCCGGGGGUCACCGGGGAAGCAGAGCCGCAGGGAUGAAUUUGGCAGGUGCCCACGUGUUUUUCUCCUUCCCGUGCCCUGUUAGGGAAAGGUAAUCCCGAGCUGACAGGAGGGAGACUGCGAGCUGCUGACGGGAAUUCCCAGCUGAGGGGUUUUAAGAGCGGUGGGAGCUUUGGCGUAUGGAUUAGGUUGCUUAUAUAUACUAUAGUGUGAAGGAAACAGGCGGUUUUGCUAAUUCCCUUGCACUUUGGUUUAAUAAAGUAGGAUUUGUCUGGUGGGAAAGUGUAACAGUGGGAUUUAAGCUGUGUGAGUCUCAUGACUGGUGCUCGCCUGGCUGGGUGGGAAGCAGGGAAGCAUCGGUCACAUUCUGUCUCUGCUCUGUUCUUGUGUUUUUAGACAUGAUUUGAAUGCCCACAGCUUCGGAUGAGCUUUAUUUGGAUUAGGUUUAUUUAAAAAAAUCCAUAUGCAGAGACUUGCACUGAAUUCUGUAGCCCAGUUUUUCAGAACUGCAGUGCUCGUGUUUGAGAACCAGGACCACUUGGUUUGUCAGUGCCUUGUGACAAAGACUCACAAAAACUGAGAGGAUAAAGAGGAGGGGGCCAGUGCACAGAGGAAGAGGGGACAGGUUAAUAUCUGGUACAGCCUCUGCAGGGAAACGAGAUCCUUCUACUUCUGGUUUUAAUGAGAAAGGCCCCAAUGGAAAUAUAAAAUCUGGAUCUGCAUCAAAUCCUCAAAGUUCAGGCAGUUUAGAACGAGGAGUUCGGUCCAUUCCAUCACACAUCAGAGCUGUCUGCAAAAUUCACAGCCCAACACUUUUUUCCAGCCAUGAAUUCUGCCAAAGAUGUGUGCUUGGAUGUGAGGUAUUUUUCUUCUUUUUCAUCCCUUUUGCUAAUUUAAUUCCCAGAUCUAAAUCACAUUUUUCCAUCCUGGACUUCCACAAGCUGGGAUGCCUUGUUUGCGGUUGGGAAGCUUUGCUGUGCCCUCUGUGGAGUGCUGAGGUGUCAGAGGGGUCACCUGCCUGCAGUAAGUGACCGAGCAAAGGGGAGGCCUCGGGGUCAGGCAUGGGGCUGGUUUAUUGCCAGAGUCAAAGUUUUGGGAUGCGCUAGUGAGCAAAUCAUUACAGUGUUCCUGCCCUUCUCUCUCUCAUUAUUAAGAGGAUAAAAACCAACCAAUUAUUGGAAUAUGCACAAAUAUGCCACUGAUGAGGGCCCUGAGCAACCAGGCAGAUUUUUCGAGCAGCCUUGAAGCAGCAAGACACAGCAGCCACAUGCUGGGCUCUCCCUUAUUUUUAUUCUUUUCUGUUUUCUUGGUUGUAGAAUAAGAGCUAAUCAAAGUGAUGCACUCCAGCAGGCUUUUGUGUAUGGCAUUACAGCAAAAUCCUAAAUUCUCUUUCCUGCUCAUGCAUACAAAGCAGGAAGAACUAGGAUGGCUGCAGACUAUUUUCAGAUGAUUUAGCCAAGGAGAAAAUAACUGGGUGGCUGGAAGAAGGAGCUUUUGAUAGGAAAUAGCCUUGAAGUGCAGCUCUCUGACAUGACAGCGUGCGAGGUGCCCAGCUCCCUGAGACAGCCCUGCUCUGUGAAAUGGAACAUGACUUCCAGAGGAGAUGACAAAGGACAAUACAGACACCAGAGCACCCAAAAUCCAGUGCAAGAGAGUGGGCUGGGUGCUCCCUGCUGCUCCUGAGCAAGAAGUGGUUUCAGCAUCAACAUACAUGAAGUUCCCCCUGCUCGGUUCAGGACUCCUACCAAGUGCUGAGACAACAAGUCGAGUAUUUGGCUGGUAAAUCAGUGCAGCUCAACUGACUGGGUUCUUGGGAGGCUGUUUGUACCUGUAGAUGUGUUGCUUCUUCCUCCACUAAAGGCAAAAGCAUCACCUGGGACUUGCCCCUCACACCUGGAGCAAGUUGGAUGCUCCCUCCCCACAAGGCAGGAGCGUGGGCAUCAGUGAUACCUGAGCGAAAACUCUCACCUCCCUGUGCUUCACUUCACAGCACCUGGUCUGCAGCCCUCUCUCUCCCCCCCCUCAUUUCAAAGGGCCACGCAGUUCUCUCCCCCUUGUCUGUGACAACACUGGGGACAAAGCCCCAAAGAUGGUCCCACCGGGCAGGCUGGGGCUGACGUGGGACAUGGCAUUGCUCUUCGUGUUUGUUCGUGUCUCUUGAACAGCUCAGCACUGAUCAAAUCCCCUGAUUUGGAUUUAUUCUGUGCAAUUCAAAGCAAGAUUUGCUGGACCCCGCGGUGCCCAUGUGCCCGGGGAGGGUUGGGGUGUGGGUGCGGGCAAUGCCAGGUCAGGGGAGGUCCUGAUUGAGGAUGAAGGUGAAGGCAUCUUCGAAGGCUUUGGGCAAGGAGGACGGUUUCGGUGAGGCUGCAUCCCCCUCUGCUGGAAAAUCCAAGCAAAGGCAGCAGAGCACCCGCUGGCCGGGGAGAAAAAGCGGGAAUAAAUGUGCAAAGAACACAAGGGUCCCCAGGGCCCAGAAGGGACAUCGCGGCAGCCAGCCUGGGCUGUACUGGGGGUUCAACUGCUGCUGGCUGUGCUGAGAGGGCUCUUGCUGGGGACAGCCAGACCCCGAGCAGAAAUUGGGACCAUGUUGCAUUUGUGCCAGGCACAAUCCCACUCCCCAUCACGGGAAUGGGCGAGUGGGGCAGGGGCAGCACCUGACAGUGUGGUCAGGCAGGUCCUGACGAUGUGGCAGGGUCUCACAGCUGGCAGAGAGAGAAUCGUGACUGUUACUAAACAGAAUUGCACAGACAAAGGCAGUGCUUUGACACUGGGUUCAGAGAGGCUUUGUAGCCCAGGUGGUGCCCCAGGGGCCACAGGUGACGGGCAUGAGGUGCAAAACACACUGGGGAGACUGAAAUACUUAUGGCAACCAUGGGCAGUGGCAUUUGCCAGGAAGGGGCUGCAGUGCUGUCUGGUUCUUGCCAAACAGCUCGUAGGAAGCUCUACUUCAAACCAGAGGCUGGAGAAAAUGCCUCUCCUCGCCCCUCACCUGCUCCCUGGGUGGGUGGCUCAUGGCUCAGUCUAACCAAGGACUCCUGAGAAGUCCCUGCUCUGGAUUCCCCUGCGGUGCUGCUUCCUCUGGUCCUACAGGUGCCUGCGCACAGCCUCGGGCUCUGUGCUCGUCUUUCAGAGCCUCACUUGGAGGCUGUUUGUGCUUAGACUGGAAGAAUGGGUUUGUUUCCUUUUGGAUUUAAAAUCUAAAUUACAGCAGGGGUGAAAUGCGGUGACUGGGCUGGCAAAGGCCCCGACUGUGCAAUAAAUCUGCAAGCAUGGGCCUGGCUUUUGCGCAGGGGGCUCUGCAAGUGCCAAGGUCGCUGCUAAUAAAUCUGACUGGAGGACCAGGAGGAAAUUUUUUAAAACUUACUGCAAACAGCAGGCUCCUUUUUAACCAUCUUUUUUUUUUCCCUGCUCCCUUCUGCUGAUUCAUGCUCCUGCUGCUUCGCCACUGGGAGACGCCAGCAUUCCUGAAGGUCAUCACUUGCAUGCAGCAGCUCACGCUGCGGAGUGUCUGCCAGCAUCUAGGAAAUCGAAAUGCUAAAGUGCCUGCGAUCAUUUAUAUUUUCCCUGGCAGUGACAGACAAUCCACAGCUUGCCAACUGAGGAGCUGCCACGUUUCCAGGCUGCUACACUGCUCGAAGGAGAGCAAUGAAGAAAACACGGUGAAAUCCUUCCUUUGCUUCUUCAGGUUAUUUAAUGAUUUCCUUCUGGCAGCGAUGGAGAAGGAGAAGCCAUUGCAAGUGUCCCAGAAACAGCAUGGAACCUCUGGAGGGGUGUGCACAUUGUGCUUGGCUUCCCCAAAUUCAUCAGCUGCAGAUGCUGCUGCUCUCCCUCCAUCCUGGAGUAGAAAGGUGUCUGCCAGCUGCAUACAUAAUAUCUUUAAAAUUUAUACUCUAAAGAUAAAAUAAAUAAUAUUAUCAGAUAAAUAAAUAUAUAAUUUCUCAUAUAAAUAAAUAAUAUCAUAAUAUCUUCAAAAUA